UCCCAGAUGGGCUUGACAAUUUCCUUUCUUCUUGGCUUUCAUCCUCAGCUCUAUCUCCGGCAGGAGACACAUGGGGCUUGGCACCUGUGAGCACUCUAUGCUGGAUUCUCACUGAAGACAAUGCUGUCACGGACAAUCUCAGCACCUUCACCUAGUCUCAGGUUACCAGCUGCUGAGACCCAUGAGUGGAGUCCACCCGACCCGAAGGAAACCUUAUUGCAUUUGAACCGCCUUCCUUUUCACCAUUUGCAUGGUGGUGCAUCAGCCUCCACGGAGCACAGAUGGCACUUGCCUCUACAUGAACAGCAUGGAAUUUCAUUGUGCCCCGUCCAUAUUCUAGGCUGGCUUCACUUUAUUGUCAGCAUGUCUGCCCACUAUCGUCCUGCCCAAAGCAAUCGGCAUAACUCUGUCAAAGAGUGGCUUGACAUUUUUUCAUAGUAUGAAGAAAGAUCAUUAACACUGAAAUGUGACUGCUAAGAGGCUUCAGCUCAUGUUUACUAAUCUCCUGUAUGGCGAAACACUGGCACCCAGACAAACCC